CAUGGGGAAUAUUGCACAAUGGGCGCAAGCCUGAUGCAGCAACGCCGCGUGAGCGAUGAAGGCCUUCGGGUCGUAAAGCUCUGUCCUUCAAGGAGAAUAAAUGACGGUACUUGAGGAGGAAGCCCCGGCUAACUACGUGCCAGCAGCCGCGGUAAUACUAGGGGGCAAGCGUUUAUCCGGAAUCACUGGGCGUAAAGGGUGCGUAGGCGGUUUUUCAAGUCAGAAGUGAAAGGCUAUGGCUCAACCAUAGUAAGCUUUUGAAACUGUUAAACUUGAGUGCAGGAGAGGGAAAGUGGAAUUCCUAGUGUAGAGGUGAAAUUCGUAGAUAUUAGGAGGAACACCAGUGGCGAAGGCGACUUUCUGGACUGUAACUGACGCUGAGGCACGAAAGCGUGGGGAGCGAACAGGAUUAGAUACCCUGGUAG
rnacentral:rRNA from 1 species